rnacentral:misc_RNA from 1 species
GGCAGAUAUUCGUAACAAUUUUAACGCAUUGGUAAGCAGCCAAGAUUUGAAUAUAUGACAUCUAAAGAAAGAAAAGGAAAUCAAAUAGCAACUCAAAAAAGAACUAAAUCAUCACCAAUAUCUUAGCAGUUUUUUUUCUCAAUUAAACAUCCUGACAGUUCCGACUUAAUACUGAACUCUGGAGGCAAAAUUUGACAGCAAAAGCAGAGUCUUCUCUAUGCCACGAGAGUACUGGCGGUGGUAGAUUCAUACUUCCAGACU